rnacentral:rRNA from 1 species
AAACUAGAUACAAGCGAGCGGCGGACGGGUGAGUAACACGUGGGUAACCUGCCCAAGAGACUGGGAUAACACCUGGAAACAGAUGCUAAUACCGGAUAACAACACUAGACGCAUGUCUAGAGUUUGAAAGAUGGUUCUGCUAUCACUCUUGGAUGGACCUGCGGUGCAUUAGCUAGUUGGUAAGGUAACGGCUUACCAAGGCAAUGAUGCAUAGCCGAGUUGAGAGACUGAUCGGCCACAUUGGGACUGAGACACGGCCCAAACUCCUACGGGAGGCAGCAGUAGGGAAUCUUCCACAAUGGACGAAAGUCUGAUGGAGCAACGCCGCGUGAGUGAAGAAGGGUUUCGGCUCGUAAAGCUCUGUUGGUAGUGAAGAAAGAUAGAGGUAGUAACUGGCCUUUAUUUGACGGUAAUUACUUAGAAAGUCACGGCUAACUACGUGCCAGCAGCCGCGGUAAUACGUAGGUGGCAAGCGUUGUCCGGAUUUAUUGGGCGUAAAGCGAGUGCAGGCGGUUCAAUAAGUCUGAUGUGAAAGCCUUCGGCUCAACCGGAGAAUUGCAUCAGAAACUGUUGAACUUGAGUGCAGAAGAGGAGAGUGGAACUCCAUGUGUAGCGGUGGAAUGCGUAGAUAUAUGGAAGAACACCAGUGGCGAAGGCGGCUCUCUGGUCUGCAACUGACGCUGAGGCUCGAAAGCAUGGGUAGCGAACAGGAUUAUAUACCCUGGUAGUCCAUGCCGUAAACGAUGAGUGCUAAGUGUUGGGGAGGUUUCCGCCUCUCAGUGCUGCAGCUAACGC